rnacentral:lncRNA from 1 species
UUGGAAAAAUUGAGUUUAAGUUUUACAUAAUCUAGAAAACUCAGUAUUGUGUGUGUGUGUGUGUUGGAGGUGUAUGUCGACACCCACAAAGGAAAAAGGAGAAACCCUCACAUUCAGCCCCUUUAAGUCUAAAUUGAAGAUGGAUUCAAGUUGAGAUUGAUGCAUGAACCCGAUUUCUUGAUGAUCUAGUACUCACAAUCAUGUGGAACGUGUCAAGGAGAGCUCAAGCAUAGGAGGAUAACG